UCUGCACCUGCUGAGACGGUGCUGUUCAGUCAGACUGGGCAAAACUUUGGACACAUGCUAUGUGAUUCCGGGUCCUCGUGACUAAGGGGGUGAUCGUCUAUGAAUUCCUUCUCUCACAGGGGCGCCUUUCCUCCCUCCGGGAGAUCUCAUCACGCAGUGAUCCGGACAGAUCGCUGAGGCGCACGGAUAAAGGAAGACCGCUCUUUAAUGUGCGUGCUCCAUGAACACAUGUGUCCUGAUUUUAAGGCUUAGACUGGAGAGACUAAAUUUUGAUGGAGGGGCAGCUAACCCCCCCGCCCCCCGGCGAUUCGCACUCAUCGGCUUGUCUUCUGGACCCGUGCUCGGUUGCACUGGGGACUCCCAGAUCUCAAGCCUGGCUGCGGGCGGCUGUUCGCGUGCGAUAAACCCCCUCCGCAUGCCGAACACCCCUCCUUGCAGCCGCGGCGGUGCAGAAAAAAAGCAUAUGCUCCUCUCCUUUGAGAUGCGGAUGUUAAUUGUAAGAGGUCAGCAAGGUCGCAGAACCAACUGGCAACGUGAUUUCAGAAGCAAGGCAAAUGAUGUUGAAAAGACACGAUGUUAAAUUUGAUUGGAAAUACAGCUUCAGCAACCGACUUAAAUUUAAACUACUCAACACACAAUGUGCUGACACAUUGAUUGUUUGUUAUUUACCGUUUAAUUUUCUUAUUUGACCGUGGCGCGUCUAUAUUCAACCUGCCACUGCGGUUAAUGAUGCAUCUGUAGCAUCUUGUAUUCAUUAAUGAGCAGUAUCAAUUGUAAACUCUCUUAAUAGCAAAAAAAAAAAGAAAGACUUUGGCAGCGCCGCCAUAUUCGUGUUUCAAAUCAGUCAAAAAUACGUGCACGUGCCUUGGGGUUUAUACGAUGGGGGGCAGUGCGUCUUCAGGUUCAGUGCGGGUUGGGUGCGUGCAAGUUCAUAUUAUAAAACCAUAAAUGGUUUCUGUAACAAUGACAAUGAAGAUCUCAGAUAGAUCAAGAUAAAAUAAAGAUCAAGAUAAAAUAUUAAAAUUCCGUAAUCUUCUUUCAUGUUGUUGGUAC